GACGAACGCUGGCGGCGUGCCUAAUACAUGCUAGUGGGACGCAAGGAAACACACUGUGCUUGCACACCGUGUUUUCUUGAGUCGCGAACGGGUGAGUAACGCGUAGGUAACCUGCCUAUUAGCGGGGGAUAACUAUCGGAAACGAUAGCUAAUACCGCAUAAUAUUAAUUAUUGCAUGAUAAUUGAUUGAAAGAUGCAAGCGCAUCACUAGUAGAUGGACCUGCGUUGUAUUAGCUAGUUGGUAAGGUAAGAGCUUACCAAGGCGACGAUACAUAGCCGACCUGAGAGGGUGAUCGGCCACACUGGGACUGAGACACGGCCCAGACUCCUACGGGAGGCAGCAGUAGGGAAUCUUCGGCAAUGGACGAAAGUCUGACCGAGCAACGCCGCGUGAGUGAAGAAGGUUUUCGGAUCGUAAAGCUCUGUUGUAAGUCAAGAACGUGUGUGAGAGGGAAAGUUCACACA
rnacentral:rRNA from 1 species